GUAGUACUCCCUCCGUCCUAAAAUUUUUGUCUUAGAUUUGUCUAAAUACGGAUGUAUGAUACAUCUGUAUCUAGACAAAUUUAAGACAAGAAUUUUGGGACGGAAGGAGUAUAUG
rfam:Triticum urartu cultivar G1812 contig1182609, whole genome shotgun sequence.